UCAAACAUAAUCCUUACAAACCCUAAUACUAUUUGAGACCAUGAAUAUCAAAAUACACAGCUUUUGCAAAAACGAACAUAAAAAACAACAAAAGUAUACAAUUAUAUAGUUAGAUGGAUCACAUGUAAACCAAAACGCGGACCGGUCCUAGUAUAGUAUGUGAUAAAGUUAACGAGGAGAUCAUAGCUUUGGGGAGCCAGGAGGACGACCCUUUGAUGGGCCUCUUCUUGAGCCACUUGGCGUUACUUGUACCUUUCUUUGGUAUACAAUUUGUCGCAUUCCAUCU
rnacentral:lncRNA from 1 species